GGCACAAUUAAACUAUUCAGGGCUCUAAAGUCCUGAACUAAGCGAUAUGCUGGCCAGUGGUGUUGGGAGUGGGUCUGGUGUUGUUCUUGCCUACAGGGCAUAUUUUGAGAAAGGUGGGGUUGUUGGGGUGUGUGGGGUUUCCUGGGGUUUCCUGGGGUGUGGACACUCAUUCCUCCAGUGGCCAUAUUGGCCACAGUUGAAACAAGUGUUCCUAUCUAUUCCUCCUUGGUUACCCCUGCCCCUAUAACCCUGAUUUCCCUGUCUCCAUCCCCUUGCCCCUCUUUGACCACCCCUUCCACAGGCUUUAUGUGCUCCAUCCCAUCCACGCUCUCAGCCUGUGUAGGUGGACUGUGUUGCAAUCCCUGAGCAUAAUAAGCAACCUUACUUUCCUAAAUCUUUUCUUAAUUCAAAACAACCUGCAUUUUCCUUUUCUAUAACCUUGGUAAGAAAAUCUGAGCUAUCCAAAUUGGCCCAGUCUGAAAUCAAUUGUUUCACAAGCAAAGAAUACUGUGGCAACAUAUUACCAAG